rnacentral:rRNA from 1 species
UCGAGAAUAUUCCACAAUGGACGAAAGUCUGAUGGAGCGACGCCGCGUGCAGGAUGAAGGCCUUCGGGUUGUAAACUGCGGUAGACAAAUAACAACGCAAGUGAGUGUUUGUCGGAAAGAGGCGGGUAACUACGUGCCAGCACCAGCGGUAAUACGUAGGCCUCAAGCGUUAUCCGGAUUUAUUGGGCGUAAAGCGUGUGUAGGAUGUUUUGUGCGUCUUCUGUUAAAGCCCACGGCCUAACUGUGGAAGUGCAGAGGAUACGGCAGAACUAGAGGAGGUUAGAGGUGCAUGGAACUCACGGUGUAGGGGUGAAAUCCGUUGAUAUCGUGGGGAACACCAAAGGCGAAGGCAGUGCACUGGGACCUUCCUGACUCUGAGACACGAAAGCGUGGGGAGCAA